GCGGAUUUAGCUCAGUUGGGAGAGCGCCAGACUGAAGUAAAACUUUAGUCCAUUGUAAUCUGGAGGUCCUGUGUUCGAUCCACAGAAUUCGCA
rfam:Naumovozyma castellii CBS 4309 chromosome 8, complete genome